rnacentral:misc_RNA from 1 species
UCUCCGUAGGUGAACCUGCGGAGGGAUCAUUACAGAGUUCAUGCCCUACCGGGUAGAUCUCCCACCCUAUGUUAUUAUUACUUUGUUGCUUUGGCGGGCCGUUAGGCUCCGGCCCGACUACCGGCCCCGGCUGGUAAGCGCCCGCCAGAGGACCCAAAACCCUGAAUAUUAGUGUCGUCUGAGUACUAUAUAAUAGAUAAAACUUUCAACAACGGAUCUCUUGGUUCUG